CAGUCGCCGCGGUAAUACGUAGGGUGCAAGCGUUAAUCGGAAUUACUGGGCGUAAAGCGUGCGCAGGCGGUUCUAUAAGACAGAUGUGAAAUCCCCGGGCUCAACCUGGGAACUGCAUUUGUGACUGUAGAGCUGGAGUGCGGCAGAGGGGGAUGGAAUUCCGCGUGUAGCAGUGAAAUGCGUAGAUAUGCGGAGGAACACCGAUGGCGAAGGCAAUCCCCUGGGCCUGCACUGACGCUCAUGCACGAAAGCGUGGGGAACAAACAGGAUUAGAGACCCCAGUAGUCCCUGUCUCUUAUAC
rnacentral:rRNA from 1 species